AUGACAUUGCUGGCCUCUGUAGUGUCCUGCUCCCGUGCCCGGCUCUUUGUCUGCUUCCUCAGGCUGGGCUCUCAGCAGGCCAGCCCCCUGCAGCUGCACACAGGGGCCAGCCUCACAGCCAAGAGCCACUAUGAGGUGCUGGUGCUGGGUGGGGGCAGUGGUGGGAUUAGCAUGGCCACCCGCAUGAAGAGGAAAGUGGGUGCAGAGAAUGUGGCCAUCGUUGAGCCCAGCGAGACACACUUCUACCAGCCCAUCUGGACCCUGGUGGGUGCUGGUGCCAAACCAUUAUCCUCAUCUGGCCGUCCCACAGCAAAGGUGAUCCCAUCUGGUGUGGAGUGGAUCAAAGCUGGGGCAGUUGAUCUGAAUCCAGAAAAGAACUGCAUCCACACAGAUGAUGACAAGAAGAUCUCCUACAAAUAUCUUAUCAUUGCUCUUGGAAUCCAGCUGGAAUAUGAGAAGAUCAAAGGCCUCCCUGAAGGUUUUGCCCAUCCCAAAAUAGGGUCCAAUUACUCAGUGACAAUGGUGGAGAAGACAUGGAAAGCUCUGCAGGACUUCAAGGAGGGCAAUGCCAUCUUUACCUUCCCUAACACUCCAGUGAAGUGCGCUGGGGCCCUGCAGAAGAUCAUGUACUUCUCAGAAGCCCAUUUCAGGAAGACUGGAAAGCGACCCAAGACCAAUAUCAUUUUCAACACUUCUCUUGGAGCCAUUUUUGGGGUCAAGAAGUAUGCAGGUGCCCUACAGAAGAUUAUUCAGGAGAGGGCCCUCACCGUUAACUACAAGUAAAAUCUCAUUGAAGUCCGAGCUGAUAAGCAAGAGGCUAUUUUUGAGAAUCUGGACAAACCUGGAGAGACCCAAGUGAUUUCAUAUGAAAUGCUUCACGUUACACCACCCAUGGGCCCACCAGAUGUCCUCAAGACAAGUCCUGUGGCUGAUGCUGCCGGCUGGGUGGACGUGGACAAAGACACUCUGCAGCACAAACGGUACCCAAAUGUGUUUGGGAUCGGGGACUGUACCAACCUGCCGACAUCAAAGACCGCUGCCACCGUAGCUGCCAGUCAGGAAUACUUGACAGAACAAUUUCUCUGAUUAUGAAGAAUCAAAGACCAGUGAAGAAGUAUGAUGACUACACGUCGUGCCCACUGGUGACUGGCUACAACCGUGUGAUUCUCACGGAGCUUAACUACAACACUGAGCCCCUGGAAACCUUCCCUUUUGACCAGAGCAAAGAGAGACUUUCCAUGUACCUCAUGAAGGCUGACAUGAUGCCGUUCCUGUACUGGAAUUGGAUGCUGAGGGGUUACUGGGGAGGACCAGCGUUUCUGCAGAAAUUGUUCCAUCUGGGUAAGAGCUAAGGAUGGCCCAGCGCUUGCUCUCCCUGGAUGGCUUCUGGACCAGAAUCACAGCCAUGGAUUGACCAAGAGCAGCACGAAGAACUCAAAACCCAACCCCAUAAA